rnacentral:rRNA from 1 species
UACGAAGGGGGCUAGCGUUGCUCGGAAUCACUGGGCGUAAAGCGCACGUAGGCGGAUUGCUAAGUCAGGGGUGAAAUCCUGGAGCUCAACUCCAGAACUGCCUUUGAUACUGAAGAUCUUGAGUUCGGGAGAGGUGAGUGGAACUGCGAGUGUAGAGGUGAAAUUCGUAGAUAUUCGCAAGAACACCAGUGGCGAAGGCGGCUCACUGGCCCGAUACUGACGCUGAGGCACGGAAAGCGUGGGGAGCAAACAGGG